AGUGUUCUCUAAACAGUAUAGGCCUUGCCUUGACAAAAGACUAAACGUUGCCACUGAAUUCAGAGGUAGAUUUGAUAUGGGGAGCAUAGAAUGGGGUAAGAGGGUUAAGGAAUGUGGAAGAGCACAAGUCUGA